rnacentral:rRNA from 1 species
UACGGAGGAUGCGAGCGUUAUCCGGAUUUAUUGGGUUUAAAGGGUGCGUAGGCGGACUGUCAAGUCAGCGGUAAAAUUGAGAGGCUCAACCUCUUCCCGCCGUUGAAACUGGUGAUCUAGAGUGUGCGAGAGGUAUGCGGAAUGCGUGGUGUAGCGGUGAAAUGCAUAGAUAUCACGCAGAACCCCGAUUGCGAAGGCAGCAUACCGGUGCACAACUGACGCUCAGGCACGAAAGCGUGGGUAUCGAACAGG